rnacentral:rRNA from 1 species
UACGUAGGGUGCGAGCGUUAAUCGGAAUUACUGGGCGUAAAGCGUGCGCAGGCGGUUUUGUAAGUCAGAUGUGAAAUCCCCGGGCUUAACCUGGGAACUGCGUUUGAAACUACAAGGCUAGAGUGUGGCAGAGGGGGGUGGAAUUCCACGUGUAGCAGCGAAAUGCGUAGAGAUGUGGAGGAACACCGAUGGCGAAGGCAGCCCCCUGGGUUAACACUGACGCUCAGGCACGAAAGCGUGGGGAGCAAACAGG